rnacentral:rRNA from 1 species
UCUACGGGUCGCUGCAGUGGGGAAUAUUGGACAAUGGGGGCAACCCUGAUCCAGCCAUGCCGCGUGUGUGAAGAAGGCCCUCGGGUUGUAAAGCACUUUCAGUGAGGAAGAACGCCUGGUGGUUAAUACCCAUCAGGAAAGACAUCACUCACAGAAGAAGCACCGGCUAACUCCGUGCCAGCAGCCGCGGUAAUACGGAGGGUGCGAGCGUUAAUCGGAAUUACUGGGCGUAAAGCGCGCGUAGGUGGCUUGAUAAGCCGGUUGUGAAAGCCCCGGGCUCAACCUGGGAACGGCAUCCGGAACUGUCAAGCUAGAGUGCAGGAGAGGAAGGUAGAAUUCCCGGUGUAGCGGUGAAAUGCGUAGAGAUCGGGGGGAAUACCAGUGGCGAAGGCGGCCUUCUGGACUGACACUGACACUGAGGUGCGAAAGCGUGGGUAGCAAACAGGAUUAGAUACCCCAGUAGUC